rnacentral:snoRNA from 1 species
GACUCCCGCCGGAGCGGUUGUGACCAACCUACCG